GCUCAUAUGGCUCAGGGGUAGAGCACUUCCUUGGUAAGGAAGAGGUCGUGGGUUCAAGUCCCACUAUGAGCUCCA
rnacentral:tRNA from 1 species